CUCUCUCCCUAAACCCUAAUAUCUUUUUGUUUAGAAUUGGUCCUGGAAAUUUUUGUUUUUGUUUUUGUUUUUGUUUUUGAUGUGUUUGUGUUGAAUGUUGCUUUUUAUUAUUCUGUAUUGAUUUAUUUUAGUUUUUUUUUUUAAAUGACUCUGUGGUGGUAGAGAUGGAAUUUUAGUUUGUUAUCUUUAGGCCAUCUCAAGCCCUUACUCAAAUUUUCAGUGAAAGCUUUAUUUGAUACAGACAAGCCCAGAUUUAAGUAUAAAUUUUAGCAAAAGCUUCACUAAUGGCAAUUUGAGAGCCACAAAGUAGCCUUGAAAAUUUUGAGUAAACAUUUGAGUCUUCCCUUGAUUGGGGUAAAAGUUUGAGUAAAACUCAAUUUGUUAUAAGUUUGGGUCAAGAUGUGGAGUGUGUUUUGAGUGAUUUUUACCCAAAUUUAAAUUUGAUAUAUGUUUGAGUCAAGUAUUGGAGAUGCUCUACAAGUGUGGUUUCAUGAGUUAUUUCUUCUUAUUUUCUGAUGCGGAUAUACUUUUGUUGGGUAGAUAGAACGAGCUUCAAAAAUAUUAACCCCCAUCGCUGAAUUGAGCUUGGACAUGUUAGCUUUCCUACAUUUUUUUGAGAAUAAUCAAGUAAAUGAAACGUUAAUAUGUGUUUAGUGAGGUUUCACCUCUGUUUCGACUUUUGGAUCAUUUAUUUGUUCUUCAUGAUGUUCUUAUAUGUGGUUAAGGUUAUGUUGGCAUAGCACCAAUAUGAGUUUUGCUACUAAUGUAUGCUUUAUUUGAUUAUGUUUCUCCCUCAAGUUGGUUACGAGUUAUUGUUUGGAUGCUUAAAUGUUUGAUUUGUACUACUUGGUUGUUUUAGCAGAGUUUAUCUGUCAAUUUUUUGGAUGUUCAUAUGUUUCUAAAAUGUUGUGCUUGUGUAGAUAAAAUGCAGAUUUUGAGUUCAAAAUAUUUCUGACUUUCCAUUAUCUAGUUUUUUUAGGGGUUUAUUUGUUUUUAUGAUGCUUUUAUAUGUUUGUUUUGGUGUGGAUGAAUUGUGGUUCUUUUUUCCCCCCCUCCCCUAGAUGUAAGAUUGGGUUAUAUUUUGUUUCUACAUAUUUUCUUUAGCUUCAUUCUUUUUGGACUUUAGAUGGGCUAUAAUAUAGUUAUGGAAGGUAUCUUAUAUGUGGAUGAGGCUGUUGAUGGAUGAAAUGUUGAUGGUCACUGGCAUACUUGAGUUUAUAUUGCAUGUUAUGUAAGGUAUCUUCUUCUGUGCAGAUGAUCUAUGUUUUGGUAUUGCAUGUUCUUUUAGCUGGCCAAGGUCAGUUCUUUCAAUAAUCAUCUGUCUACACAAUCCUCCGGGGGAAUUUUGUUGACACUUUUAUAUUUUACGUGCAAAUGCAUACACAUAUUGUUGCUCUUGAAAAUUAUAGAAAAAGGUAAUGUUUGUACUUAUUUAUUUAUUAUUAUUAAUUAAGAGUCUUAUGAAUUGCAUCCAUCUUCUUUGGGACCCAUUGCACCUACGUGGGUAAGACUACUGCACAUGACUGCUGAAGUGAUGAAUCUUGUGUGAAGUCUUAAGAUGGUGGAGGGGAAGCUAUUGGUGUAAUGUAGAAAAAGAGCUGCAGUUAUCCAUUGGAUACAUAAAAUAAGGUUCAUGCUGAAUGAACAUUUGUUCCAAUGCAUCUGAGCUCCAAUAAAAUGCAUACUCUUGCUUGUUUGGAUGUCCUAAUUUGAGAAUUUGUGCUGAGAAGCCCUUGAAAUAGUGUGGAGAAGGAUAUUGGCAUUUACAAUUUAAAAAAUUUAGAAUGUGUCCAUGCGUGUCUAUAUGUAUUUAUAACCCACGGUUAGUCAUUUGGGUGUGCAAGUAAUAAGAAAGUCAACCAGCUUUAGAGAUCAACUUAAUGGUAAUUUAUGCUGUUGUUGGUUAUCAGCAUUGGGGUAAAGUUGUUUUGUGCAAACUUUUAUUAUGAUACUGUACAUGGUGAGAAAUGGUAAUGUUUGAAGAUUUGUGAUUACCACUACUACUGAAAUCAAGAGGCAGUUAUUUGGCUGAAGAGAUGGCCGAUCUAUGCUCCUGUGAGAGUAAAGACACUGAUUGGAGAAAGCUUGUUUGACAUGUGUGGAAUGCAAGAUGGGAGGAGUCACAGGUGGGAGUUUCCUUAUACUGUCUUGUUUAAGAUGCAGGAUUAAUGUAGGCUUUUCAUUUUCAACUUUAGGCCAAUUGUCAAGUUUUGAAGGAAUCACGAGCAGCCAUCAAUUGUCCUUCUGUUGUUUUGGGUCUAUAGCAUAGUGUAAUAAUCACUGGUUAUAUUUCUUCAAAGUAGCUGAAGUUAAUGUUUUGAUCCAUCUAUUUAGCCUAAUGUAUGAGGUCUUGUAGUUCUGUUAAAUUUACAAACAACUCGUCAAAAUUUAACUCUGGAUGUUUGAGAUGUGAUUGUUCUAGUUUUAUCACCACUGGGUGAUUUAUAAACCAUUCCUUUUGCUUGCAA